AUACUUACCUGGGAGGGGAGACACCAUGAUCACAAAGGUGGUUUUCCCAGGGCGAGGCUUAUCCAUUGCACUCCGGAUGUGCCGACUCCUGUGAUUUCCCUAAAUGUGGGAAACUCGACUGCAUAAUUUGUGGUAGUGGGGGACUGCAUUCGCACUUUCCCCUG
rnacentral:snRNA from 1 species